AUUGAACGCUGGCGGCAUGCCUUACACAUGCAAGUCGAACGGUAACGGGCCUUCGGGUGCCGACGAGUGGCGAACGGGUGAGUAAUGUAUCGGAACGUACCUUUCAGUGGGGGAUAACGUAGCGAAAGUUACGCUAAUACCGCAUAUUCUGUGAGCAGGAAAGCAGGGGAUCGCAAGACCUUGCGCUGAUUGAGCGGCCGAUAUCAGAUUAGCUAGUUGGUGAGGUAAGGGCUCACCAAGGCGACGAUCUGUAGCGGGUCUGAGAGGAUGAUCCGCCACACUGGAACUGAGACACGGUCCAGACUCCUACGGGAGGCAGCAGUGGGGAAUUUUGGACAAUGGGGGCAACCCUGAUCCAGCCAUGCCGCGUGAGUGAAGAAGGCCUUCGGGUUGUAAAGCUCUUUCGGCCGGGAAGAAAUCGUAUCAGCUAACACCCUGUGCGGAUGACGGUACCGACAUAAGAAGCACCGGCUAACUACGUGCCAGCAGCCGCGGUAACAC
rnacentral:rRNA from 1 species